AUUGAACGCUGGCGGCAGGCCUAACACAUGCAAGUCGAGCGAGCGGCGGACGGGUGAGUAAUGUCUGGGAAACUGCCUUAUGAAGGGGGAUAACUACUGGAAACGGUAGCUACUACCGCAUACCAUCAGAUGUGCCCAGAUGUGAUUAGCUAGUGGGUGGGGUAACGGCUCACCUAGGCGACGAUCCCUAGCUGGUCUGAGAGGGUGACCAGCCACACGUGAGCUGAGACACGGUCCGGACUCCUCCGGGAGGCGGCAGUGGGGAACAUUGCACAAUGGGCGAAAGCCUGAUGCAGAAAUGCCGCGUGUGUGAAGAAGGCCUUCGGGUUGUAAAGCACUUUCAGCGGGGAGGCGUUACCCGCAGAGGAAGCAACGGCUAACUCCGUGCCAGCAGCCGCGGUAAUUC
rnacentral:rRNA from 1 species